UUUCUAAACAAAGGAGUCAUUCUAACUAGAGAUAAUUUGGCACGACGAAACUGGCAUGGGCCCAAGUCAUGUGUCUUUUGUCAACAUGACGAGUCUAUCAAACACUUAUUUUUUGAGUGCAAGUUCGCGCGGGCAGUUUGGGCCGUGGUCCAGGUAGCUUCGAAUUUAUACCCACCACGUACUGCACGGAAUAUGUUCGGCAACUGGUUGCGGGGUAUUGAUAAACAAUUUUCUGCACAUAUUCUUGUGGGAGCUGUCGUGGUUCUAAGUCUGACAGUAGAGUGGGGGGUAGGUAUGAAGAGGCAAGGUCCUAGCUAUGGAGAGGUUGUAAGCACAAAGGAUGUACGAGUUCAGGCCCUUCUCGGAAGAAGUAACAACCCUACGUCUCGGAGCCCGGAGGCGGUCGAGUGGAUUAUGAAUGUAUGA
rnacentral:rRNA from 1 species